ensembl:lncRNA
UUUUUUUUUUUUUUUUUUUUUUUUUUUUUUUUUUUUUUUUUGCUUUAUUCGGUUCGUUUUUUUUUUUCUGUUUUUUUGUCUAUAGCCUUGUUAUUUACCUUUUCCUUUUUGUUAGUAGGUUGUUUUACAGCUUUGUUGUUAUUUUCUUUUGUUUGCGUAACAGUUUUAUUAAUCUUCAUUUUAUCGUUUUUUUUUUCAUUUACUUUUUCAUUUACUUUUUCAUUUACUUUUUCAUUUACUUUUUCAUUUACUUUUUCAUUUACUUUUUCAUUUACUUUUUCAAUUACUUUUGCAUUUGUUUUUUUUUUCAUUUACUUUUUCGUUUUUCUUCUUAUCUACUUUAUCAUUUUUUUUUUCAUUUAUUUUAUCAUUUUUUUUUUUAUCUACUUUUUCGUUUAUUUUUUUAUUUACUUUAUCAUUUUUUGGUUUUAUUGUUUUAUCAACUUUUUUAUCAUUUUUUUUGUUAAUUUGUUUCUCAUUUUUUUUAUUAACCUGUUUUUCAGUUUGUUUUUCAAUUUGUUUUCCAUUUACUUUUUCAUCUUUACUAUCAUUUUUUUUUUAUUUGUUUUGUUAGUAGCAUUGUCAGUGGCAUUUUUGCUGUUUGCAUUUUUAUUGUUUGUAUUUUCAUUUUUUUUCUUCAUUUUUUUACCAGUUUGUUCUUUUUUAUUAAUUAGUUUAUUUGUUACUGUUUUGUUAUUUUGCUUUUUUUGCAUAUCCGUUUUUUUGUUAGAUGUUUUCUCUGUUUGUUUAUUUUUACUGUCACCUUUUUUUAUCUUGUUUUACCUUACCCAUUUUAUUAUUAAUAUCUUUUUUAGAUUUAUUAAUAUUAUUUAUUUUUUUUUGAGUUACUUUUUGUUUCGUUCUUAUUUUUAUCAUUUUUCGAUAUAUUUUUUGUAGACUUGGUUUUUGUUUUUUCAUUUAAAUUAUUUGGUUUACUUUUUUUUUGAGCUGUUUUUUUGACCUGUUUUUUUUUCCUUAUCAGUUUUUGUUUUAUUAUCUGCAAUAGUUUUUUCAUCUGUUUUAUUAAUGUCUUUAUAAUUUUCUUCGUUUUUCUCAUUUACAUUCUCAGUUUGAUUAUCUAUAUUUUCAGAAUAUUCACCUGUAAUCUUAACGCUAUCCUCUGCGUUUUCGUUUUUUUUCAUUAAUUUCGUUUUCUACAUGUUCAUCCAUUUUUCCAUCUGUAUUUUCUCCGUCUUCUUUCUCUUCUUUCUCUUCAUUCUCUUCUUUCUCUUUCUCUGUCUCUUGUUCUUUUUCUGUUUCGGAAUUAUUUUCUUCAAAACUCGGUUCUUGACUUAUCUCUAAUUGAUUAGAUUCUAAUUGGUUAUAUUCCUCUUGGUCAGAGUUUUUAUUAUUAUCACUACUUAUUACUUCAUAGUCUUUAUUACUUUCAUUAUCAUCCUCUCUUGUCAUUUCUUCAUCUGUUCUCAUAUUUUCAUCAUCAUUACCUUUUUCUUUUUCGGUAUUUAUAUUUUCACUAUAUUCUGUGACUAAUUUAUUACUAUCAAUUUGUUCAUUUUCUACGGAUGUAUCUUUUAUUGUAUCUUCAUCGUUCUCAUUAACUGAAAGAAAAUUAAUUACAUGUCCAAAAGACAUAUCGUCAUCUAUUUUUUUUUGAAAAUAAGAAACUUUAGAAUUAUUUUGUAUGAUCAAAUGUGAUCUUAUUAUUUCGUCUUCUUCAUUUAUACAACCUAGUUUUUUUAACAGGUCUUUUUCUGUAUCGAAUAAUAGUUGAGUUGUUAAUUCUUCUGACCACAUUAUCUACGAGUGGAAAUGGUAAAACGGAAAAAUUAUAGAAAGGAAAAAUGGAAAAAAGACAAAACGAUAGAAAGACAAAAAUAAAUAGUCACCCGAAAUUAGUUUUACA